rnacentral:lncRNA from 1 species
CAUUAAACCAGUUGUAGCUUGGUCUAUAUCUGUACUUCAUUAAACCAGUUGUAGCUUGGUCUAUAUCUGUACUUCAUUAAACCAGUUGUAGCUUGGUCUAUAUCUGUACUUCAUUAAACCAGUUGUAGCUUGGUCUAUAUCAAUACUUCAUUAAACCAGUUGUAGCUUGGUCUAUAUCUAUACUUCAUUAAACCAGUUGUAGCUUGGUCUAUAUCUAUACUUCAUUAAUCCAGUUGUAGCUUGGUCUAUAUCUAUUAAACCAGUUGUAGCUUGGUCUAUAUCUGUACUUCAUUAAACCAGUUGUAUUUUGGUCUAUAUCAAUACUUCAUUAAACCAGUUGUAUUUUGGUCUAUAUCAAUACUUCAUUAAACCAGUUGUAUUUUGGUUAAUAUCUGUACAGUGAUAGCAGCAUACAGCAGUGAUAUCAGACUAGAGGUAGAGGUUAGCAGCAUACAGCAGUGAUAUCAGGCUAGAUGUUAGCGGCAUACAGCAGUGAUAUCAUGCUAGAGGUAGAGGUUAGCAGCAUACAGCAGUGAUAUCAGGCUAGAUGUUAGCAGGUUAGCGGCAUACAGCAGUGAUAUCAGGCUAGAGGUAGAGGUUAGCAGCAUACAGCAGUGAUAUCAGGCUAGAGGUAGAGGUUAGCAGCAUACAGCAGUGAUAUCAGGCUAGAUGUUAGCAGGUUAGCAGGAUACAGCAGUGAUAUCAGGCUAGAGGUAGAGGUUAGCAGGUUAGCAGCAUACAGCAGUGAUAUCAGGCUAGAUGUUAGCAGGUUAGCAGGAUACAGCAGUGAUAUCAGGCUAGAGGUAGAGGUUAGCAGCAUACAGCAGUGAUAUCAGGCUAGAGGUAGAGGUUAGCAGCAUAUGGCAGUGAUAUCAGGCUAGAUGUUAGCAGGUUAGCAGCAUACAGCAGUGAUAUCAGGCUAGAUGUUAGCAGGUUAGCAGCAUACAGCAGUGAUAUCAGGCUAGAUGUUAGCAGGUUAGCAGCAUACAGAAGUGAUAUCAGGCUAGAUGUUAGCAGGUUAGCAGCAUACAGCAGUGAUAUCAGGCUAGAUGUUAGCAGCAUACAGCAGUGAUAUCAGGCUAGAUGUUAGCAGGUUAGUAGGAUACAGCAGGGAUAUCAGACUAGAGGUAGAGGUUAGCAGCAUACAGCAGUGAUAUCAGGCUAGAUGUUAGCAGGUUAGCAGCAUACAGCAGUGAUAUCAGGCUAGAGGUAGAGGUUAGCAGCAUACAGCAGUGAUAUCAGGCUAGAGGUAGAGGUUAGCAGCAUACAGCAGUGAUAUCAGGCUAGAGCCAAGACAGUCUGUUAGGUUUAGUCUGCUGAACACCUUCAUCUCACGGUGAAUGCAGUCAUAGAACUAGAUCUUCUGUAAAACAUCACCUUGAUGUAUUUUACUUUAAUUAUCAAGGUCUUCUAUGCUCCCCAGUCUCAGUCGGUGGAUAGUUUUCGUUAGUUAGCUACUAACCAGUUAAAAUGUGAUUGUGUGUAACGGCUGUGUGAAGAAGUAGACCAAGGUGCAGCGUGUUGAGUGAUCAUAUUUCAUUUUAAUCGAGACACUUUG